rnacentral:lncRNA from 1 species
ACAUGGUUUGCUAUUUUAAAUUUUAAUCAUUAACAUAUUUAAAGCUUAGGUGCAGAGUCAAAUUCAGUUAUCAUUUUGGGUAGAUUUUGUUAUUUUACAAUUUCAUACAUGUGCAUUGUGGAUUCUACACCGUCUCCAACUUUCCUUCCUCUCCUACCAGCCACUCUGCUCCCAACAAACCUCUUUCUUGUACUUGCCUUGAUUUUUGUUCAGGGUCCUACAGAGUCUGGCUGGGGUCAUCUGUGAGGUCUACUUUAAAAAGAACAUCAGGGGAGUGGGGGUGGGUGGAUAUGGGGGACUUUUGGUAUAGCAUUGGAAAUGUAAAUGAGUUAAAUACCUAAUAAAAAAUGGAAAAAAAAAAAAAAAGAACAUCAGAGGUUUUUAAGGUACUGAAUAUGUCUGGGACUUGUAAAGAAAUCUGGCCAUUUUCUCCUGACAUUGCAUCUAUCUUCACUGAAAACUAACAGCUCACAAGCUUAUAUCCCUGUGGGUACUGUGUCAAUACUCUAAGUAUAUGCAUUACCUCCCACAGAAUAUUUUACCAAAAUUAUUGAUAUUAUGUCAAAUGCUCAGUGAAGUAAUGAAUAUUUCAACAACCAUCUGAGAGAUCAUGGAGCAGGCACUGGAAUUAACAGGCCCAGUAUUGACCUAAAACAAACCUGUUCUUUGCAUUCUGCUUUCUCUAUAGAGUCUUUAAAAUAUACUUGGCUCAUAACAUACAUACAUAUACAUCAUAAACAAGGCAUGGCAGCGCACAUCUGUAAUCCCUGCUGCUGAGGAGACUGGGCCAAGCAGCCCUGAGAUCAAGGUCAUCCUGUGCAACCCAGCAAGAUCACUUCAAAACCAAAGAUGGUUUAUUAUGAAGAUUGGACGUUAAUAAUGUUUAGAACAUCAAAUCACAACACAGUGAGAGUGCUUGCCAGAUGAGUAAAUAUUUGCCACUUGAAUAUGGUAUCAUAAGGUAUGGAUAUUAUGAACACAGAGAUGAAUGUGUCUUUGGAACACGUUCUCUUUUAGUAUGAAUUGUGGUAGUCAAUUUCAGAGGAAAUCCUAGGUUCUAGGUUACCAUGAGUGUUCAGACUUUGUCAGAACCUUGUAUUAUACAGAAAUGCAGUGUGUGUUAUGUGUAUGUAUUACGUAAGUUCUACGUAAAUAUAAAAUGCAAACUCAGUUUUCACACUAGACCUAUACCCUGUGGUCACAGUGAGGUCCAUAGGAAACCCUGAUUCACUAAACUCCAAAAGGCAGCCCGUAUAUUUAGAAAUGAUUUCAAACCUAGAAUAUAGGAAGAUUUUUGGUGGUUGGGGAAAAGCCAAUAUUUCUAAUGAACUGGUGAUAACAGUUCCCAUCUGCUAAAAUAAGUCUUUUUUUUUUUUCUAUUUGGACAGACUUUUGGAUUUUGGAGAACUGAGGUUUCCUUUGGACAUGACAGUCAUUGUGUAUGGAACUUAUCUCAGGUUGGGUUUCAUAUCACUCCCUGUGUAAAAGGAUAGAGCCACAAUAGGACUUUCAGACAUGGUGAGCUCCUUUUAAGUCAAACCCCAACCUCAGUAUUAAGAACAAUGACGCUCCCAGAGACAGCUGGAGACGGCCAUCACUGUAAUGAUUUCAGCUCUUUCCCUUAGGGCUAGCAUAUUCCUAAGUCAAAAGGGCAUCCUUAGCCUACCAGGACAAUGAGCGUCUGAUUAAUGAGGUGGUGCCACUAUUCUGAUAGAGUAAUUGAUCAUUUCCAAUUAAUUCCUGAGAAAAAUCAAUGUUUGCUUCCUAGAGUGUUUACAUCAAUUAAGUUGUGUCAAUAAUGAAUAUUGUGUAUCCAGUUUUUAGGAAGAGUGGGUAUUCUGUUUAUAACCUGUUUCUACUUUUGAACUCUGGCGUACAGCAGCAGCAUAAAAAAAUGUGACAGCAAGAAAAGUACACUUUAACCCUCAGCAACAAAAUCCUUUUUUGGGAGAAGCUAGGGACUGUAUACUGUGGGCCAGGCUAGCCUGGAUUGUGUGUGUAGCUCAGACCAGCUUGGAACUCAUCUCUUAGUGGUUUGAACUCACUAUGUAGCCCAGGCUACCCUCAGACAUAAUCAUGACAUGGAUGAACACUGAUUCAACUCUGAGGUAUAAAGUAACUCUGGCAAGCUCUUAAGGCUGCCGGGCUGAAAUCUGAGAAAGUCACCAUGUAUUGGGACUUGAUUCUUGUUCAGAUCAAUCCUACUUAAAUUAUUCCUAAAGUGGUUUGCACUUCUUGGACAGAUGCCCCAGUGAUGAUGCUCUAUUUCCAUUUAUGCCAGCAGAGCAACUGGUUCCUUACGUGUGUCAGUUGCAGUCUGGGGUCCUAGCUACUCUAGGAGAAACAAGUUAGAAGUGGUCUUCUUCCCCACUGAGCAUAUUCUCAGAGAGAGACACACAUACAAACUAUAUGCACUCAUGAGCAAGUCAGGGAAGCCAGCGAAGAGCAAUUGUUUUUCUUGCUGACUUGCAUAUACCCAGGCAGUUGGAAGGAUAUGGGGGCUGGGGGGGGGGUCUUCUCUUUGAGUUAAUCUUUCUAGCUAAUACCUUCACAGAUCUGUCCAGAGGCUUGUCUCUUAAUUGAUUACAGAUCAAAUCAAGCAGACAACCAAGAUUACAACCCAAGAAAAUCAACUCAAAACAAAAAGAAAGCAAAAGUCAAAGAGAAAUACUGUGAAACACACAAAGAAACAAAGUCCCAUCAACAGCGUGGGAUUUGCUCUCCUCUUAAGGCACCUCGGACUCUGAAAUGCAACGCUGACUCUAGAGAACCAAUGAGCGGUAGCUCUUGCAGAGGGCCUACAUUGGACAGUUCACAGCUAAUUAUAACUCCCCUUUAGCCUCCAAAGGGAAUUUAUACUCACAUGCAAACAUCCUCAUACAGACGCACAUAUGCAUUCUUUUUGUUUUGUUUUGAUAAAUCUAAAAUAAAAAUUUGCUAGAAAUUAAUCCUGGAAUCAUAAAAAAGCAUAUGAGAUGUCACAUAUAUAUGUAUACAUGAUGGGCAGAUUUGAGAGGAAGGAGGUCAAAUAAAAAUUUGGACAAGUGAUAUUAAAUUUAUAUAUUAAGGCCUUGCAUUACCAAACCUUGCCAAUACUACUUAGUAUCACAGGCACUGUUAAUAUUACAUAGAUACCCACUUCUAAAAAUAAUCAUUUGACUAAAAACUGAGGCGUAUAGAAAGAAAAGCAUAUUUUUCCCUCAUAGACUCUAGGAAGGUCUCUUCACCCUUUUCAGCUAUGGACCCAGGUAACUUACUGCAGCACACUGGCUUCAGCCUAUUAAAAGAAAGAUUCUGAUGUGGGUCCUACCUACUUCUACUUAUUCACAAGGUGGCCCAAAGCAGUGUCACAGAUAUACUAAACUGCUGAGGGAUUUAGAAAGUUUAUUCCCAAGGCUAGCUAGUCACUACAGGUAAAACAUGGGGCAGAUUAUCAGUCCUGGGAAACAGGACAUAAGAUACCAACCGUUUCCAUAGCAGCAAACUAAUAUGGAGACAGCCAGGAAAGAGCUUUAGGGUGUGAGCAGCAUAAACCUUCGAGUAUAGGCCCAGCCAGUCACAGGAGAGAUUAGGAACAUCAGGAGUAUGGCGGAAACGGUGGGGAUGCAAAUGUUGAACAAAAGAUCAGUCACUUGAAGAUAGGAACAAGACCACUUACAAAGGCACUGCAGUGCAAGGAGGCCCUUCUUUCUCAACAAGGAAAAGGAGACAAGUGAACUGACACUCCUGAAUGAUAACGGAAAAUCAUGCACAAAGCAAAACCACCUUCACACACGAACCAGAUGGACUUUUGCAGAUACUCAUUAAGAUGUUUCUCACCAUGAGAUAUUUCCCCAAAGAAUCCUAAAAACAAAACAAGAUAAACAAAAUCUACUAAGUAAAUGAACAGAAACACAACCACAGAACUCACAAACUCACUGAAAUGGAAGUGAUAAAAGUUUAAGGAAAAGAUGUCCUUUACUAUACGAAACGUUGGUUUGGCUUCAAGCAAACAAAAGUAAAACAGCAGAAAAUGAGCUGUGAAAGGCAUCGGGAUUAAAACUUCAAACCACCGAAGCUGAACCACAGAAGUUAGCUGUACGUGCCAGCUCAUACCUAAAAUCUCACCAUUUAGGAACCCGAGGAAGGAGGAUCCCCUACGAGUCUGAGGCUGGCCUGGGCAGACAGGGAGUUCCAGAUCAACCUGGGUUAGAGUGAGACCCUAAAACAACAAAACAGAAGCAAGACAGCAAGACCCAGCUGUCGCUCGUGUAUAACUGCACAAAGAAUCCAAGUCAGAAUACAGCAGAUGUGAAAGACGGUUCACACAGAUCAGGGCUAGAAAAAGGGAUUUGAUCACAGGAGCAAAAGAAAUGAUACUGCUCUCUUCAGAUAACUGUAUUCGUUGUUUAGACUUGUGUCCUAAAUCAGAAUCAAAAUUUUGCACUAUAUGUCCUUUUGCUCUAUUUCUAAAAUUAGAAAUUAA